GCGCCCGGGCACCGCCUGCGCUGCGCCGCCCGGCCUCACUCCGCGGCCCGCCAGGACCCGGCCCCGGUGAACGGGCUCGGGGUGCCGAGGUCCGGCUGCGGGGCCGGGAAGCCACCUCCACCUUGCCGUCUGUUACGACCCCCGAGGCGCAAGGCUGAGCCCCAUCUCGCUAUCCGGGUCCGGAGGGGUUCACCUUAGAAGGAUUUUUUGAAGCUCUUGGCGCUGGCUCUAAAAGAACCCACUUCCUUGCGGAUUUCAGGAGUCAAGAAUCCUUAAACGGAGCCAAUUUGCUUUGUAAAGCCAAUUGCCCAAGUGACUUGAGUUCGAAAGGAGAUACUUCCUGGACAACUGCUAUAAAAACAACAACAAAUACUUUUAUUAAUUCGGGGAGCCUGGUCACCAACUGGAUGCUCAGGGGAGAUGGAACCCUGAGCAGCCCAUGUACAUGGAAGAUCUUUAUUGCAGAGAUCUUCAAACCAGAUGGCUCGCAGAGAUUGAGGAACUUGCCCAAGGCUACGCAGCUUGAUCUUCUAAGGGUGUGAGGAUACAGGCGUCAAAGACCCCGUGCUGAGACAGCUCCAUAACAACAUGCAGAUAUUUGGCAAUGAGGGUUCAGAAGAGGACUUGCUGUGGAGAAGAGAGAAAAGAGAUGGGAAGACUCUGUGAAUGAAUAGAGAACACUCUGCAAGCAUCCCAGUUCCUUUGGUUGCCCUGCAGUCUGCAGGUACCAGGAGAA
rnacentral:lncRNA from 1 species